rnacentral:rRNA from 1 species
UCCUGCCGGAGGCUAUUGCUAUCGGGAUCCGAUUCAGUCAUGCUAGUCGCACGGGCUCAGACCCGUGGCGAAUAGCUCCGUAACACGUGGUCAAACUACCCUCUGGACUGGGAUACCCUCGGGAAACUGAGGCUAAUCCCGGAUACAGCUUUCAUGUUGGAAUACGGAAAGCCGGAAACGGUCCGCCGCCGGAGGACGUGACUGCGGCCGAUUAGGUAGACGGUGGGGUAACGGCCCACCGUGCCGAUAAUCGGUACGGGUGGUGAGAGCAAGAACCCGGAGACGG